GUAACUCUUUUACUCAACAGGGAACAAGGGGCCAGAUGGCAAGCAGACAUGUGCUUAAGGCUGGGUUGAGAACUGCUACUUAAAAGGAUGUUGAAAAUGAAACUGACUCUAAAACCUACUUGAAGCAAACUUCUGGAAGAGAGAGAUCAGAAGCAAGCACCAAAAGGAAGAGGAAUACCACUUAAGAAUGUGAUGCAAAGCAAGUGGGUCUUUCCAAAACUUUUAUCCUGAAACGAAGAAGCAGAUAUCGGAAUGUACUGGAAAAAAAUAGAAAAGGAAGAUCCCUCACCAUCCAUAACAUGACACAUGGAAGAGAAAGGGUUCCUAAGCUUCCAGGUGACCCUGCAACCCCUACUUCAUUCUGGAGUGUCUGGCUCUAGAUAACUUUAAAGAAAAAUCAACCCUUCCUUGGUUGUAUGGCUGUUGUCUUGUUUUUAUUGACAUGUGAUUAACCGGGAAAAAAAGAAAGGUUUGUAUUCAAGAAGUCAAGCAUCUGAUUUCCAAUUUUUAUUAUGAACAAUAUUUUUAUUACGUGAGAAAAGAGAAGACAGUCCACAUCAUGUAAAAAUAGCAAGGGCAAGUGCCACAAAUAGCAACUUGAGGCCAGGAGACCUGGAUGGAGGGACACACAACCACCAGGAGGAAAACAAGAGGCAUGGAAAACAACAGCUGCCAGAAGCUAAAAGAAGGGUCCUUGAUCUUCACAGGGGACAGGUGGCCAAGACAUGCCACUCGUCACUGUGUGACAUGGUAUAGUCACAAUGUUCUAGGCUUUGGAAAUUAUUGCUAAACUUUUUCAGCCUAGAAAAAUAUUUAAGUCAACUUGAAAAAAUGUACUAAAUCUACUUCCCUAUGGGAUUGUUUUGUCCUAGGUCCAUACUAUACACUAUCCAAAUAAUUGAAGUGUUUUUUUUUCCUUCAGAUUUAUUGUGUUUCAGUGCGUUAAACAAUA